rnacentral:lncRNA from 10 species
UCACAAGCGGAAGAGGAGAUCUCAUAGUAGCACACAAGAGAACAGGCAUUGUAAACCACAUCACCAGUUUAAAGAAUCUGAUUGAUGUUCCAUUGGGACUGUUUACCAGAUUGCUUUCUAAAUUAGCCAGCUGGGGUUACUUUAAAAAACAGUAUGUAAUUUCUUUCCUUCUCCACGUUAACAGACUUGUUCUGCCAAACAGCUUAUUUGUAGUCAGUGCAGACAAAUCAUGCUUCAUACGCAUUGUUAUAUAAGGGGAAGGGGGAAGGUUUAUGACAGGAUUUCAGAGACCAGAGAUAAUUAAUAAUUAAUGUACAGUACACUAAAAAAAACCAUCUGUACCCCACUAUUAAUAAAUACAAAAAACCCUAAGGCUUAACGUCAUAGUACUGGUUAUUCAUAGGAUAAUUAUACGUUGUAUAUAUAGAAAGGAAGUGAUAUGAGUGAUGAACAGUUCAUUUGUGCUCAUAGUUAACUACGUAAACAUGAUACUGAGUCCAGUUAACCACCAGGCCAGUGCCUGCUUUGAUAUUUGUACCAGAUGUGUUUGGUGGUCAGCGUUUACCAUGAUCCAGAAUAUUCUAAUUUUUGAAGGUCAAAAACUUUGAGUGUUUUUAUAAAAUAACAAAAAACUGAAAAAUGCAGAAAAGUAUAAAGAUGGUAAUCUCUGUAGGAAAUUAGUCCCCAUUAUUUAGCUGUAAAAUUAUAAUUAAAAAAAAAAUCUUUGUUUCUAAA